rnacentral:misc_RNA from 1 species
UGACCAGCAAGAAAGACACGA